rnacentral:rRNA from 1 species
AUUGAACGCUGGCGGCAUGCCUUACACAUGCAAGUCGAACGGCAGCGGGGGAGAAGCUUGCUUUUCCUGCCGGCGAGUGGCGAACGGGUGAGUAAUACAUCGGAACGUGCCCUGUAGUGGGGGAUAACUAGUCGAAAGAUUAGCUAAUACCGCAUACGACCUGAGGGUGAAAGUGGGGGACCGCGAGGCCUCAUGCUAUAGGAGCGGCCGAUGUCUGAUUAGCUAGUUGGUGGGGUAAAGGCCUACCAAGGCGACGAUCAGUAGCUGGUCUGGGAGGACGAUCAGCCACACUGGGACUGAGACACGGCCAAGACUCCUACGAGAGGCAGCAGUGGGGAAUUUUGGACAAUGGGCGAAAGCCUGAUCCAGCAAUGCCGCGUGUGUGAAGAAGGCCUUCGGGUUGUAAAGCACUUUUGUCCGGAAAGAAAUGGCUCUGGUUAAUACCUGGGGUCGAUGACGGUACCGGAAGAAUAAGGACCGGCUAACUACGUGCCAGCCGCCGCAGUAA